GGGCUUCGACCGGAGCUCGCCCUUGUCACAACACACCCCCGUGCACGUCGAAGGCCCGGCUCGUUGAGUGGGUGGGCGACCGCCCAGGAUUCGUAGCCUCGCUUUCUUUACACAAACUUCGGAAUGUAGAUCGGAAUGUCUGUUGGGUACACAAAACAUAAUAUAACUUUCGGCAACGGAUCUCUUGGCUCUCGCAUCGAUGAAGAACGCAGCGAAAUGCGAUAAGUAAUGUGAAUUGCAGAAUUCAGUGAAUCAUCGAAUCUUUGAACGCACCUUGCGCUCCUUGGCAUUCCGAGGAGCAUGCCUGUUUGAGUGUCAUGAAACCCUCAACCCCUGCCAUCUUUGCGGAUGAGCGUCGGUUGGAUUUUGGAGGCUGCCGGACUCGUUCGGCUCCUCUUGAAAGCAUAGUGAAGCUUGGACCUGACCGACCGGGUGGACGUGAUAGAAAGUCACCGUCGACCGAAGGGUCCGUCGCUGAACGGUUCAAGCUUUGUUUACCGUCUUCGGACGAACGUCUCUGACCUCUGACCUCAAAUCAGGUAGGACUACCCGCUGAACUUAAGCAUAUCAAUAAGCGGAGGAAAU
rnacentral:rRNA from 1 species